UGGCUCAGGAUGAACGCUGGCGGCGUGCCUAACACAUGCAAGUCGAACGAAGCACUUUCAAUCGGAGAUUCGUCAAAGAUUGGAUUUGACUUAGUGGCGGACGGGUGAGUAAUGCGUGAGCAACCUGCCUUUCAGAGGGGGACAACAGUUGGAAACGACUGCUAAUACCGCAUAACGUAUAUGGGCGGCAUCGCCUGUAUACCAAAGGAGCAAUCCGCUGAAAGAUGGGCUCACAUCUGAUUAGCUAGUUGGUGGGGUAACGGCUCACCAAGGCUGCGAUCAGUAGCCGGACUGAGAGGUUGAACGGCCACAUUGGGACUGAGAUACGGCCCAGACUCCUACGGGAGGCAGCAGUGGGGAAUA
rnacentral:rRNA from 1 species